UCAGCCUGCUGCACCAUCAGUCGUAAUCUUCCAUUAGUGAUCAACAUCAACUGAUGGAAAACAAAAGAGAAAUAAGAUCUACAAGUGGUAUUCAACAGUUAUCAUAGCAAAAAUCAAAGAAGAGCUAGUGCCAGCAACACUACUUAUAGGCUCAUUUGGGUGUAUGGAAACUGUGAUCACAGCCCGAACCUCUGAUUGACCACCUGAGCCAAGCACUGAGUCAGCCACGGGAACACAGGUGAAGGCGAUUCAGCUGUGUGACCGUAAGGGGGGGAGCCUGGCUGCACCUCUCUUAGGCCCUAUUUAAGGGCUGACUGCCACUAAGGAAGGAUCACUUUCUGGAGAUUGCUCCUUGUGGAGUUUACUGCAAGCCUAUGAUAUCAAGUAGUAAUGAAGCUCUGUUUCAUGUUUGGUCCUGGAGGAGUUUGAACUGCAAGCACGGAUGGGUGAAUGGAAGGGCACCGUUCCUGAGGCCAACUGUUUCAGGUUUCU